UGCCGUCCCAACGCACUGGAGGCUGACUCACCGGGCACUGAAGUGCUUCCCUCCGCCGAAAGUCCAGGCCUGGCAGCACUCCUCUGCUCCCUGGAGUCCGCUGUGGGUGCCGCAUCACCAGUCCUGCCAUCCGCCAUACUAGGGCAGCGUCACCCCGGAACCGUUGGUGGCCGCGCCAGCCCCCUGAGCACUGAGAUGCUGUGCAGCUGUGCUAGCUGGUCUCCUCCGAUCAUUGGAACAGGACCUCUCCACCCCGGCUGCCUUUGCUCUAGACUGUCUUCUCCUCCUCCUGCGCCAAGGAAUGGAACUGGGGUUCAAGCGUUGGGGCGGAAUAGUCCGCCUCGUGGGCUGGCGCUCCGGACCUCCUGAAGGCCCUGGUACUGGAACAGCAGCUCCCAGGCAUUCCUGCAGCCAAGACUUCCCUCUCUCCUGCCCAGCAGACCUGACCCUCUCAAUCAGAGACUCCAUAGUGGGAUCCAUCUGAAAAAGAAAAGAAGAGACACCAAACAAACUUGCUGCACACAACAACAAGUAAGUCA